rnacentral:rRNA from 1 species
UACGUAGGGUGCGAGCGUUGUCCGGAAUUAUUGGGCGUAAAGAGCUCGUAGGCGGUGUGUCACGUCGGCCGUGAAAACCUGCAGCUUAACUGUGGGCGUGCGGUCGAUACGGGCAUCACUGGAGUUCGGCAGGGGAGACUGGAAUUCCUGGUGUAGCGGUGAAAUGCGCAGAUAUCAGGAGGAACACCGGUGGCGAAAGCGGCAGACUUGACCCUUCCUGACGCUGAGUGCGCGAAAGCUAGGGGAGCAAACGGG